rnacentral:rRNA from 1 species
GUGAAAGAGAGCUUGCUCUCUGGAUCAGUGGCGAACGGGUGAGUAACACGAGAGCAAUCUGCCUCAGUCUCUGGGAUAACAGUUGGAAACGACUGCUAAUACCGGAUGCCGUCACACCAUCACAUGUUGGAGUGACGAAAGAUUUAUCGGAUUGAGAGGGUCUCGCGGCCUAUCAGCUAGUUGGAGAGGUAACGGCUCACCAAGGCAUCGACGGGUAGCUGGUCUGAGAGGAUGAUCAGCCACACUGGGACUGAGACACGGCCCAGACUCCUACGGGAGGCAGCAGUGGGGAAUCUUGCACAAUGGGCGAAAGCCUGAUGCAGCAACGCCGCGUGCGGGAAGAAGGCCCUAGGG